rnacentral:tRNA from 1 species
GCCCCCGUAGCCCAACUGGUAGAGGCAAUCGACUCAAAAUCGAUCCAGUGUCGGUUCGAAUCCGACCGGGGGUA